rnacentral:tRNA from 1 species
GGGCCUGUAGCUCAAUUGGGAGAGCGCUUGAAUGGCAUUCAAGAGGCAAGGGGUUCGAAUCCCCUCAGGUCCAC